GGGCCCUUCUUUCUCCUCCUCCCUCCCUCCCUCCUCCCGCGCGGCGCUCGGGCUUGUGUUCCCGGGUUCCCUCCCCGGCGCGUCUUUCCCGGCCCGCCCGGUGCAUUGUGGGCUGACGUCUUGGUUUGGCUGUCUAGUGACGGAGGCUGCCGGGUCGGCUGGACCCUUGCGGCGUCUGUCGGUGGCGGGCUCAAGUUCAGGGAUGGGGACCCAGGCCGAGACCCGAGACGUGGGGAUCCAGAAAACUGGGGAGGCGCACUAGUGGCCCGGGGUGGAAGGCCUGGGAGGGGAGUGGAGUUGGCACAGACGCACGAGAGUGGAGGUGACGCGCACAGAUGCACACACACACACGCACACACACGUGUGAAGCGGCUGAGCGACCUGAGCUCCAGCAGGCUCUGCACCCCCGCACUUCCGGGAGGUAGCGGCGCGGGUUAAGAUGGUUGUGUGUGCCCCGGGAGUGCGAAAGUGGGUUGAAGUUGAACGGGCUUGAGAGUGUCCCUCCCACGUCUUGAGCACGCGUGGAAGUUUGCCUCUUGGUUAAGUUCCGGCGGGGGAUCUGCGCCGCCGUGUGCUGUACCUGGAAGCCAGAGAUUUGCGGUACUAGGAACCGGACUCCUCUGGGUCCUCGGCACAACACGUACCCUCUGGGGACAUGCGGGGAGGGGCUCGCUUUGCCUCGGAGGGACGCGUUUUCUAGAUGUGAAAUUAAGGUGUGACUCCCAGCACCCAUGGGGGGGGGGUGUCAAAACCAACAUUUAAGGGUUCAAAACUCGGGAAACCCCGGCGAUCGCCUGUGCUCGAGCGCACACACGGUCCCGCGCGCGCUCAGCUCGCGCCCGCCCUUUCCCCCUCCUAAUUUGCUUCUGGGAAAACAAGUCUUAAGAGCCGCCGCCGACUCGCCCGAAAGUCACGCUGCCUAAGCGGGAGUCCCUGGUAAGAAGCAGGCUAAACGCUCCCCUCCCCGCCCGCUGGUGGAGCUAUAUUCUCUGCGGCCUCUAGGAAGCGCUAGACACAUGCCAGCAGAGCCAAGUGCAGCCCUGAAUCAGCACACCCAGUGACCCAGGGCAUUAAAGAGCUGGAGAGAUGACUCAGCAGUUAAGAGCACCUGAGGCUCAUGCUAAGGACCCAGCCUUGUUUCUCAGCACCCACAAAGCAGCUCACGUCCAUAUGUAAUUUCAGUUCCAGGGAUUUUGACACUUUCUUCUGGUUUCCACAGAGACCAGACCGUAUUUAUGAGCAUCACCAAAUAGACGAUAGGGAUGGUGUUGACUUUUUCUAGACUAGUUUAUCAUCCCUUUGCUGGCCACAAAGUGCUGAGGGUAAAAUGAAGCCCGAGUAGAUGGAGUUGAAAACGGGGCUCAAGGCCUGAUUUCUCAUCAUAAGCUAAUAAAGAAUUAUCCUUUGAAGCUGGCAAAGUCGGCUUGACAGAGGCUGAGAAAGGAUGAGGCUCCUGAGUGAGACAGAGAAUAUGCUCAAAGAAAAGAGACACUGCACAGCCUCCACAAUCUUCUGGACUUCAUUAUCAGGAUAGGCGAUCAAUCCCAGAGGUCUGCUGUGGGCAUCAGUGAGCGUGCACAGAGGGGGUGCCAAGUUGGCAUCUGUCUUACCUGUGUGCUGAUUAUUCUAUGAGUCUCCUUGGAGGCCACUGCCAUCACCCCCACUGUGAUUUAAACAGGAAUGUCCCCCAUUGGCUCCCACAUUGGAGCGCUUGGUUUCCAGCUGGUGGUGCUGUUUGGAAAGGUCAUGGAGCCUUGAGGAGGUGGAGUCUUGUUGGAGUCACAAGAGUGAGCCUGGAGGUGGAGUCCUGUCUGUGCUCUGGAUUCUGACUGUAGAUCAGAAUCUGCCCUGAGUUCCUGCUGCCAGACCUUCCCUGCUGUGAUGGACUGAAUCCCUUUUCUACUGUGAGCCAGAAGACACUCUUCAUCGUUAAGUAGCUGCUGCCACAGCAAUGUGAAAAAUAAAUCUACAACUGUUAAACUUGUCAGAACAUGAGCUGUGGGUGCUGCAGUGGGUAGACAGGUCAGCCUGACUUUUGUUUUUUCUGCUUCCUGUGAUCCAAAUGUGGUGUGGGACAAUUCUGUAUUCUCUGAAUUAUGUUUUAAAUAAACACUGAUUGGCCAGUAGCCAAGCAGGAAGUAUAGGUGGGACAACCAGACGGGAAGUAGAGGUGGGGCAAUGAGAACAGGAGUAUUCUGGGAAGAAGGAAGUUCUUCCCACAGUCCUGUCUAGACAUCUAAGAAGAAAGAUGUAACCUACCCAGUUGAAAAAGGUACUAAGCCAUGUGGCUGAUAUAGAUAAGAAUAAUGGGUUAAUAUAAGUUACAAGAGUUAAUAAGAAGCCCGAGCUAAUGGGCCAAUCAGUUUAUAACUUAUGCAGACUGCUGUGUGAUUUUUUUGGGAUUUACCAGCUGUGGGAACUGGGCAGGACAAAAACCCCAACAAGCAGGCCCUCCUGUUACACAAAUGUGUAUUUCUUUUUUUUUUAAAUAUUUAUUUAUUUAUUAUGUAUACAAUAUUAUUGUCUGUGUGUAUGUCUGCAGGCCAGAAGAGGGCACCAGACCCCAUUACAGAUGGUUGUGAGCCACCAUGUGGUUGCUGGGAAUUGAACUCAGGACCUUUGGAAGAGCAGGCAAUGCUCUUAACCUCUGAGCCAUCUCUCCAGCCCCAAAUGUGUAUUUCUUAAAUUUGGAGAUAUUCACAUCAUACUUGUCAGGGGUUGACUUUAACCUUUAACCUUUGAGAGCUUAUUUUGACUGCACCACUUUCCAGCUUUACUCCUGACCUAAUAUUUCGGAGUCUAUUUUCGUAGGUGUCCCGUAAAAUGUAGCAUCAAACACUCAUGGCACUUGCUGUUUGCUAUUGCACGAUUAAAGAAGGGAGAAGCCAGGGGUUAUCUGAAGGUGUAGAAGUAUGAGACAAGGUCUUAACUCUGUAGGAGUUUAUACUAUGGCUUAUUAGCCACAGCAGAAUUCUAGACUGGUAGGCAAAGCGCAUGAUAUGACAAAGAUGGUCUGUGAAGACUCUACAGAGA